rnacentral:rRNA from 1 species
CUAAUACCGCAUAACGUCGCAAGACCAAAGAGGGGGACCUUCGGGCCUCUUGCCAUCAGAUGUGCCCAGAUGGGAUUAGCUAGUUGGUGAGGUAACGGCUCACCAAGGCGACGAUCCCUAGCUGGUCUGAGAGGAUGACCAGCCACACUGGAACUGAGACACGGUCCAGACUCCUACGGGAGGCAGCAGUGGGGAAUAUUGCACAAUGGGCGCAAGCCUGAUGCAGCCAUGCCGCGUGUAUGAAGAAGGCCUUCGGGUUGUAAAGUACUUUCAGCGGGGAGGAAGGUGUUGUGGUUAAUAACCGCAGCAAUUGACGUUACCCGCAGAAGAAGCACCGGCUAACUCCGUGCCAGCAGCCGCGGUAAUACGGAGGGUGCAAGCGUUAAUCGGAAUUACUGGGCGUAAAGCGCACGCAGGCGGUCUGUCAAGUCGGAUGUGAAAUCCCCGGGCUCAACCUGGGAACUGCAUUCGAAACUGGCAGGCUUGAGUCUUGUAGAGGGGGGUAGAAUUCCAGGUGUAGCGGUGAAAUGCGUAGAGAUCUGGAGGAAUACCGGUGGCGAAGGCGGCCCCCUGGACAAAGACUGACGCUCAGGUGCGAAAGCGUGGGGAGCAAACAGGAUUAGAUACCCUGGUAGUCCACGCCGUAAACGAUGUCUACUUGGAGGUUGUGCCCUUGAGGCGUGGCUUCCGGAGCUAACGCGUUAAGUAGACCGCCUGGGGAGUACGGCCGCAAGGUUAAAACUCAAAUGAAUUGACGGGGGCCCGCACAAGCGGUGGAGCAUGUGGUUUAAUUCGAUGCAACGCGAAGAACCUUACCUGGUCUUGACAUCCACGGAAGUUUUCAGAGAUGAGAAUGUGCCUUCGGGAACCGUGAGACAGGUGCUGCAUGGCUGUCGUCAGCUCGUGUUGUGAAAUGUUGGGUUAAGUCCCGCAACGAGCGCAACCC